rnacentral:misc_RNA from 1 species
GGGAAAUAGCGUAAAUGAAUGCGAAAUAGAGAUCUCUACCUGCUUAUGGAACCACAUGUUAUGCUCUAAGCGCACCACAUGGGACAACGAAAGUGAAAAUACUCCCAGUACAAAACCUGCCGCAUCCCUAAAAAAUUCUAUUUUUCUCGAGAAACAAACAAUCCUACAAACCCUACCUUUCCUAGCCGGAUUGCUAGAAACAUAAAUGGCGGUUUCAGAGGAGGAGUGCUCGAAUGCCAAGUCCCGAUCGUCGUCUCCUUCAGCAAACGGCGCAUACUACCUGGCCAAGUGCGUUCUCAGAGGAAGCGUUGUUCUUCAGGUCGUCUAUGGCCACUUCCGCUCUCCUUCCUCCUACGACAUCGUUUUUGGCAAAGAGACAUCUAUAGAGUUGGUAAUAAUCGAUGAUGAGGGCAUUGUGCAGUCAAUUUGUGAGCAGCCUGUAUUUGGCACAAUUAAAGAUCUUGCUGUCAUACCUUGGAACGACAAGUUCCACGCACGAAGCCCACAGAUGCAGGGAAAAGACCUUUUGGCUGUCCUUUCCGAUUCUGGGAAGCUAUCCUUUCUCACAUUUUGCAGGGAAAUGCACAGGUUCUUUCCUUUGACACAUGUUCAACUUUCCAAUCCUGGAAACUCAAGACAGCAACUAGGAAGAAUGCUUGCUGUUGAUUCCAGUGGCUGCUUUAUUGCUACCAGUGCAUAUGUGGAUCGAUUGGCUCUAUUCUCCCUUUCUUUAUCCGGGGGCAGUGAUAUCAUUGAUAAGCAAAUAUUUUAUCCUCCUGAAAAUGAGGGACAUACGAGUUUCACCAGAAGUGUCCAGAGGCCAAUUAUCUCUGGUACCAUAUGGAGCAUGUGCUUUAUUUCAAGGGAUUCUAGCCAACCAAGUAAGGAGCAUAAUCCUGUACUAGCCAUUAUUCUAAAUAGGAGAGGCGCACUCCUAAAUGAGCUUCUAUUAUUGGGAUGGAACAUUAGAGAACAUUAUAUAAAUGUUAUUUCAGUUUAUGUUGAAGCUGGACCAAUAGCGCAUGAUAUUCUUGAAGUUCCUCAUUCUAAUGGAUUUGCAUUUUUGUUCAGGGUUGGUGAUGCUCUCUUAAUGGAUCUAAGAGAUGCUCACAACCCCUGUUGUGUCUAUCGGACGAGCUUAAAUUUCUUGCCCACUGUAGUGGAGGAGCAGAAUUUUGUUGAAGAGCCAUAUAGGGUUCAUGACGUUGAUGAUGAUGGUUUGUUCAAUGUUGCUGCAUGUGCUUUGCUGGAGCUUCGGGAUUAUGACCCCAUGUGUAUUGAUAGUGAAGGCGGUAAUGUAAAAUCAACCUCAAAAUACGUGUGCUCUUGGAGUUGGGAACCAGAAAUUAAUAAAAAUCAUAGGAUGAUCUUUUGUAUAGACACAGGAGAAUUUUUUAUGAUUGAAAUUUCUUUUGAUAUAGAGGGCCUCAAAGUUAAUCUUUCUGAUUGUCUGUACAAGGGUGUACCAUGUAAGUCACUUUUGUGGGUUGAUGGUGGUUUUGUGGCUGCUAUUGUGGAGAUGGGGGAUGGGAUUGUUCUGAAAGUGGAAAAUGGAAAACUACUACAUAAAAGCCCUAUUCAAAAUAUUGCACCAAUCUUGGAUAUGUCAGUUGUGGAUUACCAUGAUGAAAAACGUGAUCAAAUGUAUGCCUGUUGUGGUGUGGCCCCUGAAGGGUCAUUAAGGAUUAUUAGGAGUGGCAUAAGUGUUGAAAAACUUCUAAGGACUGCACCUAUUUAUCAAGGCAUUACCGGUACCUGGACACUUCGGAUGAAAGUAACUGACUUGUAUCAUUCUUUUCUUGUGCUAUCUUUUGUUGAAGAGACCAGGGUGCUGUCAGUUGGAGUGAGCUUCACUGAUGUGACUGAUUCAGUUGGUUUCCAGCCUGAUGUCUGUACUUUGGCAUGUGGACUUGUCGGUGAUGGUUUGCUUGUCCAAAUUCACCAAACUGCUGUUCAGCUUUGUUUACCCACCAAGGUUGCCCAUGCUGAAGGUAUACCUCUGUCUUCUCCAGUUUGCACAUCUUGGUUUCCUGAUAAUAUGAGUAUCAAUUUAGGGGCCGUUGGACAUGAUUUGAUUGUUGUAUCUACUUCUAAUCCAUGCUUUUUAUACAUUCUUGGGGUCAGAUUACUUUCAACUUAUCAUUAUGAGGUGUAUGAAUUGCAACAUUUGAGAUUGCUGAAUGAGCUAUCCUGCAUUUCGAUACCUCAAAAAUAUUUGGAACGAAAAAGAUUAAGUUCUAGCAAUUUUGUGGAUGAUAAUCAUGCACCUGCCCUUCCUGUUGGAGUUAACAUUGGUAAUACCUUUGUUAUUGGCACACAUCGGCCUUCUGUGGAGGUAGUGUCUUUUCUGCCUGACGAGGGCCUAAAAGUUCUUGCUAGUGGAACAAUCUCAUUAACAAAUACUCUGGGGACUGCUAUUAGUGGUUGCAUCCCUCAAGAUGUAAGGCUUGUACUGGUUGAUCGGUCUUAUGUCCUUUCUGGUUUGAGGAAUGGAAUGCUGCUUCGGUUUGAGUGGCCUCCUGCCUCUUCGAUGUCUUCAUUACAAUUACCUUGUUAUGGAUUUCCAAUUGAUUUAUGCAUGGAAAACACUGGUGGAGGUUUAUCAAAUAUGCCUGCAACGACUUUUGACCCACAGACAUGUGCUGUUGACGUAAUGAGCAAGACAAUGGAUGACCUUCCUGUCAAUCUACAAUUGAUUGCCACCCGUCGUAUUGGCAUUACUCCUGUUUUCCUCGUUCCUCUGAGUGAUUCUCUUGAUGCAGACAUGAUUGCACUCAGUGAUAGACCAUGGUUAGUGCAAACUGCAAGCCACAGCCUCUCGUUUACAUCAAUCUCAUUUCAGCCAUCGACUCAUGCCACGCCUGUAUGUUCGGCUGAAUGCCCAAAGGGAAUUUUAUUUGUUGCAGAUAACAGUCUACAUUUGGUUGAAAUGGUGCACAGUAAGAGGCUCAAUGUUCAGAAGUUUCAUCUUGGAGGUACCCCACGGAAGGUCCUAUACCAUAGUGAAAGUAGGUUGUUACUUGUGAUGAGAACUGAACUUAGCAAUGACACAAGUUCAUCUGACAUUUGUUGUGUUGAUCCACUCAGUGGUUCAGUAGUAUCAUCUUUUAAACUUGAACCUGAAGAAACAGGAAAAUCCAUGGAGUUGGUGAGGGUUGGAAAUGAACAGGUUUUGGUUGUUGGAACUAGUCUUUCUUCUGGUCCAGCUAUAAUGCCAAGUGGUGAAGCUGAAAGUACGAAGGGUCGUCUAAUAGUCCUCUGCCUUGAGCACUUGCAAAAUUCAGAUAGUGGUUCGAUGACAUUCUGUUCAAAGGCUGGGUCGUCUUCUCAACGAACUUCACCAUUUCGUGAAGUUGUUGGUCAUACUGCGGAACAGCUAUCGAGCAGUAGUCUUUGCAGUAGCCCAGACGGUAGCUGUGAUGGAGUCAAACUUGAAGAAACUGAAGUAUGGCAGUUACGAUUGGCAUAUGCAACCAAAUGGCCUGGAAUGGCACUGGCACUCUGUCCAUAUCUUGAUCAUUACUUCUUGGCAUCUGCUGGUAGUACUUUUUAUGUAUGUGGUUUUCCAAAUGAUAAUCCCCAAAGAGUGAGAAAGUUAGCUAUAGCAAGGACACGAUUUACAAUAAUAUCAUUAACUGCAUAUUUCACUAGAAUUGCUGUUGGUGAUUGCCGUGAUGGUAUCCUUUUUUAUUCUUAUCAUGAGGAUACUAGAAAACUGGAGCAAGUUUAUUGUGAUCCAUCACAGAGAUUAGUUGCUGAUUGUGUCCUUAUGGAUGUUGAUACAGCGGUGGUUUCAGAUCGUAAGGGAAGCAUUGCUCUCUUGUCGUGUUCAAAUCUUUCAGAGCGUAAUGCAAGUCCAGAAUGCAACUUGACUUUGAGUUGUGCAUAUUAUAUGGGUGAAAUAGCCAUGAGCAUAAAGAAGACUUUGAUGCAUAGACAAUUUACACAAGACAAAUGUCAUCCUUGUCGACAUGAAUGACUACUUGAGUCAACACAAAAUUCCAUGCUAAAAAAAGUGGGUAGCAACGGUAAGGAGAACUAAUGGAGAAAGAUUUUAGCUUUAGUGGAUUCAGCCUGCUAUUUUUCUUUAUGCCUUUUGUGCCUCUUUUUUACUAGAAUUCCACAUAUCCUAGUCCUUGUUGAUUUAAAAUGAUCCUGGCUGAUUAUAAUUACUCCAUGAUGUGGAUUUAUAAUACGACUUGUAUAAUAACAUUGAUUCUCUAGAAAUAUUGGAUAUAAUCAUAUGAAACUCCAUGAGUUCCUCAUCCAAUAUCAGGAAAUAAAACAUUGAAUAGGGAAUAUUUUAAUUGAUUAUAGUUCCACCACAAUGUGGAUUUGCAAUGGUCUUUAUGAAUCUUCUGUACCUGUAUCCCCUUGCAUCUUUUGAACCUAAGUAGUUGAUUAAUGUUUGUUUAUCCUUUCAGAAAAUCAGUUUUUGUGGCAGUAAAACUGAGGUGGUUGUUCAUUGAACAUAUUGAUUUUUAUGGCUAGUCCCCCAGUUAAUGAUUGUCAAUUAUAUUUUUUACAGGGAUCAUUUUCAUAUAAACUCCCCGCUGAUGAUGUGUUGAUAGGAUGUGAUGGUUUUGGUGUGAAUAUUGAUGCCUCAAACAACACUAUAAUGGCUAGUACACUUUUGGGAAGCAUAAUAGUGUUCAUUCCUUUGACAAGGGAAGAACACGAACUCCUAGAAGCUGUCCAAGCCAGACUUGUAGUUCAUCCUUUGACUGCUCCAAUUUUAGGAAAUGAUCAUAGAGAGUUCCGUAGCCGUGAAAACCAGGUAAGGAAGUUUAUUUUGAUGUUUGUGAUGGCACAAAGAUGUCGUUUCUUUGGUAUUUUUUUAUAUGUUAUCCUUAUCUAUAGCUUGUAGACUUUUAUAAAUAUGUGAUAUUAUUUGAUAAAGUAAAAAUAUUUAAUUAUCAAUAUGUUACUUAUUUUAAAUGUGAAGCAAUAGAUAUAGAGUGCGGCGACUAUAAGCUUGAUCUUAUAUAAGAAUGAGUCUAACAACCCUUAGAUUAAAUAUUUUUAAUGAGAUUUGUACACUCAUUAUUGCAAUUAUUUUCACGUUUUAAUUGAUUUUGCACAAAUCUUAAUAUAAAUAUUUAAGGAUUAUUAGACUCGUUCUUAUGCUAGUUUGAGCUUGUAUUAUAUUUAUAUAUAUCCAACAUAUCCUGUAUUGGUUUUGCAAGAAUUGCCUAGUUCUAUGUCUGUGUCAUGAGACUUUUCAUUUUCCAAGACUUCUGGUAUAAUGUUACGAUUUGACGGGGGGUUCUCUAUUCUGAAUUCCAAUGAACAAUGAAGUUCUUUUCAUCAUAGGCAGGAAUUUUUGUAAUUUUCAGUGUAGUUGCUCUUUAGGGUCUUAUCUGUGAUCUCUCAUAAGAAUACGAAGCACCUUGUCAUGGACCCCAUGCAUGAGCGCCUGUUAUGUUCUGUUAUUUUUUCUUACACUUUGAUCGACAGGUUGGAGCACCUAAGAUGCUUGAUGGUGAUGUGCUGGCUCAAUUUUUGGAGCUAACAAGUGUACAACAAGAGGCGAUAUUGUCAUUACCUCUUGGUCAACUGGAUACUGUUAAAACAGGUUCAAAAUCUCCUCUCCCUAUCCCAGUUAAUCAAGUCGUGCAACUCCUUGAGCGGGUUCAUUAUGCUCUCAAUUAAAUAGAUCUUUCAUCUCACUAAUUUGGUUGCUGUGGUUGGAGCAAUAAAAUUUUCAAAACCAACAAAUUUCAUGGGGUUUUUAUUUUAAAUUGCCCCAUGAAACCCUUAAACCCAAGUAUCAUGAUUAGUAUUCAAACCUGGCUGCAAGAUGGAAGCUGUUAUUAUCUUGAAGCUAACUGAUACAGACAUGAAGCCAAAAGUUCAUAUAGUCGCUCGAUAUCUGGAGUUCAUUGAAACAUCAGUGGAGUUCAUAUGUAGAACAGGUGUGAAAUCAUUAUUUUAAUUUCAAGCGAGUUUAACACCCCAUCAUGUCUAACCUCUGUAUUAUAGCUAUUCAUAUUUCUUGUGGUGUGGGAAGGCCAUAGGAAAUAUGAUUAUGUAUUGUAAGUUCAUGAUCUACAAAUAUAGACAAUGGUUCUUGUAAAGUUCUUGCCUGCGUUACAAUUCAUAAUAUUCUUUGUGCAUAAAUCUAAUGUUCCCUAUUUUAAAAAGUUACCUAAAAU